ACCUGACUGCUAUCGGGAUACGACUAAGCCAUGCAAGUCGAAUGGUUCUCGCAACCAUGGCAUACUGCUCAGUAACACGUAGAUAACUUACCCUAGGGUUGGGGAUAAUCCCGGGAAACUGGGCAUAAUCCCCAAUAGAUAAGUUGUACUGGAAUGUCUCCUUAUCCAAACCUCCGGGGCCCUAGGACGGGUCUGCGGCGGAUUAUGGUAGUAGGUGGGGUAAUGGCCCACCUAGCCUUUGAUCCGUACCGGACAUGAAAGUGUGUGCCGGGAGAUGGCCACUGAGACAAGGGGCCAGGCCCUACGGGGUGCAGCAGGCGCGAAAACUCUGCAAUGCCCGACAGGGUGACAGGGGAAUCCCGAGUGCUUCCUCAGCCGGAAGCUUUUCUCGAGUGUAGUGUUCUCGAGGAAUAAGGA
rnacentral:rRNA from 1 species